GGGAGCCCCAGGCGCUAUUGGGAGCACCAGGUUCUUUCCUCCACGACGGGGGGUUUGAGAAGAGUGGGCAGAGAAGCCUCUGGAGGGUUUGUCCCUGCCCUUUGUGACUUCAAACACACGAGAAAGGGAGUCCCAGGGGACUCUGGCCAAAUUUACCAAGAUCGUCUGAACUGUAAGAACCUUGAGAUCCUUAAUCCCCAAGGAUGCCCGCUGCUUCUCUCCUGUGCUGCCUAGCAUGGUCUUCAUGCAGAGCGUCUAGUGAGUUUGCUUUACUUUACUAAGGAAAAGAAAGCCUUUAAUUGAGAGGCUGCUCUUUCAAAAAUCUGUCACUUUUCAAUUCAAUUUUUAUGGUUUUUAAAGCAAUUAUACUGCCCUUUCCCCUCUGAAAAAAUCACACCUCCUCCUGUCCGUA
rnacentral:lncRNA from 1 species